AUUAUGGCACCAAUUCACCAAAACAGUUGAAGUUUAUGUUUGUAGAAGAUCAACCAAAGAAAAAUCGUGCCAAAUGAUGAAGAAUUGAUGAAGUUUUGAUGAAUUUUGUUUGAUGAAGUUCUUGAGAAUUUGAGAGAAAAUGGAGGGAAAAGUGGUUACAACUCUUGGAAAAUAUGAAGUGAUUAACAAUUCAGUUAUGAUUAAUGAUUUAUACUCCACCUUAAUCACUUUGCUAAUCUCAAUUAUCCAAAUUUCAUGUAAUUAGCAUAAUGUGAAGCUUAA
rnacentral:lncRNA from 1 species